GUGCAGUUGUGUAGAUUGCAGUGUGUGCUGGGAAGUUCUCCUCAGAGAGCUUUGGGUGCAGAAUUGCCUGCAGGGAAGGCUGUGCCAAAUCCUCCUGUGCUGGAGCCCCGCAGGCAUCCCAGGGUGGCUGUUGUCUUUAUUGACUUCCCCGAAAAGACCGCUCGGUUCGAGGCUUUGUUUCUCUGAGAUUUCUCUUCAUGCUUUCUGUUAAGGUCCUGGAGGAUGGAAGGUGGCAUGGGAAGAUGGAAAAUAUUCCAAGAGACUGUCCCGUUUACUAAGGGCAAUCCUGAAGAAGGCAGCACGGGGAUGGGGAUUGCUGUCUGUGCUCACAGAGGGAAAGUGUGCAGCCCUUCAGUUUGUCUCACGGAACGGCACGCAGUUGGGACUAGGAAUGAGAGGCAGAUGGAGAGCCUGUGCACAGGGUGCAUUUCAGCAAGGCAGCCGUCUCACACUGCCCGUCCAGCCGGGAGCGACAGAGGCCACGCAAACAGCUGGUGCUGCAGGUGCGGAAGGGGAGGGACGUGGAAAUGGCAGAGAAGACCAAGUGUUACUGAAGUACUGCCUGGCACUGACUGCAGCUCUCGUGGUUUCCAUGCUGGCAGCAAUGAUAGCGUGCUGUCUGCUUAUCCGGCGAUGGAGGCAGAGCAACCAGCGCCUGGCUGCAGCUGAUGGAGCCCAGCAUGAUGUCCACGGCCACAGCAUGCCCUCGGAUGGACGUCCUGCUUUCCUCAAGGGGCCUGGCAGAUGGAGAUGA
rnacentral:lncRNA from 1 species